GUUUCAGCAGCCGCGGUAAUACGUAGGGUGCGAGCGUUAUCCGGAAUUAUUGGGCGUAAAGAGCUCGUAGGCGGUUUGUCGCGUCUGUCGUGAAAGUCCGGGGCUUAACCCCGGAUCUGCGGUGGGUACGGGCAGACUAGAGUGCAGUAGGGGAGACUGGAAUUCCUGGUGUAGCGGUGGAAUGCGCAGAUAUCAGGAGGAACACCGAUGGCGAAGGCAGGUCUCUGGGCUGUAACUGACGCUGAGGAGCGAAAGCAUGGGGAGCGAACAGGAUUAGAUACCCUGGUAGUCCAUGCCGUAAACGUUGGGCACUAGGUGUGGGGACCAUUCCACGGUUUCCGCGCCGCAGCUAACGCAUUAAGUGCCCCGCCUGGGGAGUACGGCCGCAAGGCUAAAACUCAAAGGAAUUGACGGGGGCCCGCACAAGCGGCGGAGCAUGCGGAUUAAUUCGAUGCAACGCGAAGAACCUUACCAAGGCUUGACAUGUUCUCGAUCGCCGUAGAGAUACGGUUUCCCCUUUGGGGCGGGUUCACAGGUGGUGCAUGGUUGUCGUCAGCUCGUGUCGUGAGAUGUUGGGUUAAGUCCCGCAACGAGCGCAACCCUCGUUCCAUGUUGCCAGCACGUCGUGGUGGGGACUCAUGGGAGACUGCCGGGGUCAACUCGGAGGAAGGUGAGGACGACGUCAAAUCAUCAUGCCCCUUAUGUCUUGGGCUUCACGCAUGCUACAAUGGCCGGUACAAUGGGUUGCGAUACUGUGAGGUGGAGCUAAUCCCAAAAAGCCGGUCUCAGUUCGGANUGGGGUCUGCAACUCGACCCCAUGAAGUCGGAGUCGCUAGUAAUCGCAGAUCAGCAACGCUGCGGUGAAUACGUUCCCGGGNNUUGUACACACCGCCCGUCAAAC
rnacentral:rRNA from 1 species